rnacentral:rRNA from 1 species
GAUGAACGCUGGCGGCGUGCCUAAUACAUGCAAGUCGAGCGAACAGAUAAGGAGCUUGCUCCUUUGACGUUAGCGGCGGACGGGUGAGUAACACGUGGGUAACCUACCUAUAAGACUGGGAUAACUUCGGGAAACCGGAGCUAAUACCGGAUAACAUUUGGAACCGCAUGGUUCUAAAGUGAAAGAUGGUUUUGCUAUCACUUAUAGAUGGACCCGCGCCGUAUUAGCUAGUUGGUAAGGUAACGGCUUACCAAGGCAACGAUACGUAGCCGACCUGAGAGGGUGAUCGGCCACACGGGAACUGAGACACGGUCCAGACUCCUACGGGAGGCAGCAGUAGGGAAUCUUCCGCAAUGGGCGAAAGCCUGACGGAGCAACGCCGCGUGAGUGAUGAAGGGUUUCGGCUCGUAAAACUCUGUUAUUAGGGAAGAACAAACGUGUAAGUAACUGUGCACGUCUUGACGGUACCUAAUCAGAAAGCCACGGCUAACUACGUG